AUCUGAGUGACGCAGAAGCAGUGCCGGAAGUUGUGGAAGGGGAUGUUGUUGUAGUGGCAGUAGACCUCAAACAGGAAGUUCUGCAGGACGUCCAGCUCGAUGUGGAACGCCGUCAGGAAGUCCAGCGAGCUACGGCAACACAGAAGGGACACAGAUCAGUCACAGUGCACCGUUCUCCUCCAUGCCGAUGACAACAAACCACCAUAAUAAUAAUAAUAAUAUGAGUCACCUCAUGUUGAGGAACUUCCUGCGGACCUGUUGGCGCUCCUCCUGCAUGCUCAGCUGAGAGGUUUUGGGUUUCGGGGAGAACUUGGAGAGCUGAUGGUCGCUGUCCUCCCUGAAGAGACCCAUCCAGCUCAGAUCACAGAUGAUGUCCGGAGUCUUUCCCACGUCUUCGAUGACUUUGCUCUCCAGGUGAUGCAGCCUGGAGAUGGAGACAGGAAACCACGGAACACUACUGAGGACGUGGCCUGUGACUACGGCCCUGCUUGCUCCAAAAACAUCUAAAAAAACACCAUCUUUUUUUAAAGACUUUUUUAAUUCCAAAAUGGACAUCUUUUGGGAACAAGUCUGGGAGAUGAGGUUGAUGUGAGGCCGCUCACUC